UAAACCAGCAGGCUGGGUGCAGGGCAGUGAUCAGAGUGGAUGGCUCAGGAAGCUAAGGCCAUAGCAUGUAAGAUCUUGCUUAUCCACAGGUAUCACUAUAUCCGGCAAUCCUGCUUCUUAAAACAUCGUCUCUACAGAGCUGCUUAUCCUGCUGGAAUGCUUUGUUGUUUCAGUUCUGCUUUGCAAUGAAGACUCAUUACUGUUUCUUAGUGUUUCUCUUUCUUGGCCUGCUGUCCAACUCAGGAAGUGAAGAUAUUCAAGAAGUAAACAGUACCCUGGACUGUAAAACUCAAGUGUUGUGUAGUUCUGAGAAUCCAAACGGAGACUGUUCUGACGUUCAAAAUGUGGGGCUGUGUGUCUUACGUCUUAGUCGAAUUCCUCAGCAAGACUUAAAAAAAUUGGAAACCAGGAAUGCAAGAGGAUCACCUCCUUUGAUGCAUUAAAUUAGAAAACAUA